rnacentral:lncRNA from 1 species
UAAAAAAAAAAAUUUUGAAAUUUAGUUUUUGCCACCUUUGAACCCAUUUUAUUGGCAAGGCAAAAAGUUGCACUUAGCUUUUGAAGUUAAUAUCAGACGUAACCCAAAAGCUCUCUCCAAAAAAUAUUAAAAAGUUGUGGGGCACUGUGUGGUUGGCUAAUAAUCAUAGUUUAAAAGUUAAAAACAAUCAGUUUUGUCAAUUUUUAAUGGGAGUUAUUUCUAGCGGCGAAGUGUUGCACACGAUUUUUCUUUUAGGAUUUAAAAGUAUCAAAGGUAUUGAGUCUAAAAAUGCAAAGCAAGUUAUGUGAUACCUAAGGCCUAUUCAUAUGUUAAGGCUUGAAAUUGAAAAAAAAUUUUAUAGUAUACAUACAAAAAGCCAUUACGGCAGAGGCGCUAAGUUUUGUAAAAAUGUAAACAUAUCUAACUGUCAAUACAACGUGGUCCUAACAUAAUUUAAAAAAAACUCAUGUGAUCUUUAGAUAUUCAGUUAAAAUUAAAGGUACAAAGUGUUAAAAAUGAUUUAGUACGAAGAGAUAUUUUUUGGGACACACAGAUGAGGGAUUCGGAUUGCUCACAAUAAAAUUUCUAUCAUCCAAAAUUAGCGAUUAGCAUUGCAAAAAAAAAUUGCACUUAAUGUUAAAAAAUUUAAGUGUUUCUGACUAUGAUAUAGAAAUCAUAACAAUUGAAAUAAAUAAUAAUAAAAAACAAUAUAUGAUCAGAAGUAAAUUAUUUGAAUUUAUGUCAUAACCAAAUAACUUGUGAUGAUUGAAUGGAACGAAGAAUCGCCGAUGUCACGAUUGUGGAGAAACUAGUUAGUGGGCGGUUGUCAUAAAACAAUUUAUUUUACCAUAAAAAUGUCUUAACUUUAUUUUAAUGAUCUUUAAAAUUUGCAUAAAUAGAGUAGAUAUUUUAUCAUUGUUAUUGAGAAAUAGGGGCUGCAUAAAUAGAACUUGUUUUUAGGUCAUUGCUAUGAUUUGUGCAAAGUAAUCGAGAUGAUCAAAGAACUAGCCAUUUAAAAUUCUGACAAUGCUGAUUUUAUUUAUGGUUUGGAAAUUGUUAUAAAGGAUGUAUUCAACUACAUAAAACACCUGAUGAGAGAUUCUCAACAGGAAAAGGCAAAAAUUGAAGCUUUUAAGCAAUUAAACAAUGAAACUGCUUUCUGGCUUUAAGAUUUUUGUCAAAAAAAUUCUUCCGGUUUGAUACAGAGAGGGCCAAAGAGAGUAUUUUGGCAAAAAAGGAAUGAGUUUACAUGCGGAUAUAUUCUUCAUAAAAAUCUUAAGGAGUUGACUCUGGUAAUAAUCUUUUUACUGCUGAAGAUAUACACAAGGCUAUGUAUUAUAGUUUUGGCGCUAAAGAUGCAAAAGUAGCAGUUGCUCAAAUUAACAAUGAUAAAACUGUAGGUAAUGGACAAAAGAUUAAGAACAUUAGCAACUAUCACUCAUUUGAGUUUAGUGAGAAAAGUAUGAAGAUAUGGCGUUAUUUCGAUAUCUGUGAAGGAAUUGAACAAGAGUAUGGAUCAUCCUCUAACAGUAUUUCCAUAAAGACAAACCACAUAACAUGUGUAAUUUGGUUUGUCUUUUAUGUCCUGAGCAGGUUCACAUGCAGCUGAGAAGAGAACUUCCGCCUGAUCAAUAUGUAACUAUCCAACAGAUAAGAUCUUUAUUUUCAAGAUUUAGUCACCUGAAAAGAAAAGGUAUGCUGGUAGAACCGACAACAAAAAAUGAUGAAAAUAGUCAGAUUAACGAUAACAAAGAAGUUUAUGGAGAAAACGAUUACUUUGAUGAUAUUGAAUUAGAGGAAGACAUCGCCGAUCUUUCAAAAGAAAUUUGUCUUGUAUGGAAAGUGAAUGAUUUGGUUGCUGUUGCAUAUGAAAAACAAUAGAAUAUUGGAUAUAUUGUGGAGGUAUCUAUAACUGGGAUCAGAGUUAAUUGUAUGAUUAACGGGUAAGAGAAUAAUACUUUUCGCUGGUCAGUUACUCCCGAGGAGAUAAAUAACCAAAUUGAAAAAAUUAUCUGUUUAGUAAAUGUUCCUUUUCUAAGCAGUGUUUGUGGCGAUUAUUCAUUAUCCGAAGAAGACUGUAAUACAGUCAUAUCAUUAUUCUUAGAGAAACUUACUGCAGCAGAGUAAAAAAUAUGUGUGAUAUGGUGGAUAAUAUGUGUAAAUGACUAUUAAUAAAUAAAAAAAAAAAUUUUUAAAUGGAAAUACAUUUAAAUGUUUGAUUUAUGUUUUAUUUAAUUAGCAAUAUAGUUUUCUUGAUGUUCGAUUUUUGUUCAGUUUUUAAUUCAUAUUAUAUCAUGCGUGUGACAAAAUCACACAAGUUUUUUUUUAUUAUUAUGUUAGGACCACGUUGUAUUGAC